rnacentral:rRNA from 1 species
CACGUAGGGCGCAAGCGUUGUCCGGAAUUAUUGGGCGUAAAGAGCUCGUAGGCGGUCUGUUGCGUCCGCUGUGAAAACUCGGGGCUUAACCCCGAGCCUGCAGUGGAUACGGGCAGACUAGAGGUAGGUAGGGGAGAAUGGAAUUCCACGUGUAGCGGUGAAAUGCGUAGAGAUGUGGAGGAACACCAGUGGCGAAGGCGACUCUUUGGCCUGUAACUGACGCUGAGGCGCGAAAGCGUGGGGAGCAAACAGG